UGAGGCGAGUAAUUACAUGAAUUUAGGAAAUAUUAAAAUGCAUGGGUUACUUGCCAAGAAUAGACUUGAACCUGAUGAAAUAGAUUUUCCAGUGGACGAGAAUAUGCUGGAGAAACCCAGGAUACGAAACAGUCUUCUAGAGUUUGAGUUGGACUACGGCCGAUCUCUAGGACUUGAUCCUUUGUCUCUGCACAGUAGCGCUGAUUCAAUUCGAG